rnacentral:misc_RNA from 1 species
AACACUGUUAACCUGCGGUACCUGCGGAGGGAUCAUUACAGAGUUCGUGCCCUCGCGGGUAGAUCUCCCACCCUUGUGUAUUCUCUACAUCUUGUUGCUUUGGCAGGCCGUUGGUUCGCCAACCACCGGCUCGCGGGCUGGUGCGUGCCUGCCAGAGGACCUCUCAAACUCGGUUUGUUAGUGUCGUCUGAGUACCAUAACAAUCGUUAAAACUUUCAGCAAUGGAUCUCAGAUCGGAAG